rnacentral:rRNA from 1 species
AGUGAACGCUGGCGGUAGGCCUAACACAUGCAAGUCGAACGGCAGCACAGUAAGAGCUUGCUCUUACGGGUGGCGAGUGGCGGACGGGUGAGGAAUACAUCGGAAUCUACUUUUUCGUGGGGGAUAACGUAGGGAAACUUACGCUAAUACCGCAUACGACCUACGGGUGAAAGCAGGGGAUCUUCGGACCUUGCGCGAUUGAAUGAGCCGAUGUCGGAUUAGCUAGUUGGCGGGGUAAAGGCCCACCAAGGCGACGAUCCGUAGCUGGUCUGAGAGGAUGAAUAGGCACCCCGGAACCGAGACACGGUCCAGACCCCUACGGGAGGCAGCAGUGGGGAAUAUUGGACCAUGGGCGCAAGCCUGAUCCAGCCCUACCGCGUGGGUUAAGAAGGCCUUCGGGUUUUAAAGCCCUUUUGUUGGGAAAGAAAAGCAGCAGGUUAAUACCCCGCUGUUCUGACGGUACCCAAAGAAUAAGCACCGGCUAACUUCGUG